rnacentral:tRNA from 1 species
GCGGGCGUAGUGCAGUGGUAGCACGUCUGCUUCCCAAGCAGAAGCUCGUGGGUUCGAAUCCCAUCGCCCGCUCCA